UUCGUAGGUGAACCUGCGGAGGGAUCAUUACAGAGUUGCAAAACUCCCUAAACCAUUGUGAACGUUACCUAAACCGUUGCUUCGGCGGGCGGCCCGGGUCCUGCCCGGCGCCCCUCGGCCCUCGCGGGCGCCCGCCGGAGGAAAACCAAACUAUUGCAUUGUAUGGCCUCUCUGAGUCUUCUGUACUGAAUAAGUCAAAACUUUCAACAACGGAUCUCUUGGUUCUGGCAUCGAUGAAGAACGCAGCGAAAUGCGAUAAGUAAUGUGAAUUGCAGAAUUCAGUGAAUCAUCGAAUCUUUGAACGCACAUUGCGCCCGCCAGUAUUCUGGCGGGCAUGCCUGUUCGAGCGUCAUUUCAACCAUCAAGCCCCGGGCUUGUGUUGGGGACCUGCGGCUGCCGCAGGCCCUGAAAUGCAGUGGCGGGCUCGCUGUCACUCCGAGCGUAGUAGUUACAUCUCGCUCUGGGCGUGCUGCGGGUUCCGGCCGUUAAAAGCCUUAUUUACCCAAGGUUGACCUCGGAUCAGGUAGGAAGACCCGCUGAACUUAAGCAUAUCAAUAAGCGGAGGA
rnacentral:rRNA from 1 species